rnacentral:lncRNA from 1 species
UAGUACAGACAAUGAAUUAGAAGUUCGUAUCUGUAGAAAGUCACACAGUGGGCCGGCGCCGCGGCUCACUAGGCUAAUCCUCCGCCUAGCGGCGCCGGCACACCGGGUUCUAGUCCCGGUCGGGGCGCCGGAUUCUGUCCCGGUUGCCCCUCUUCCAGGCCAGCUCUCUGCUGUGGCCAGGGAGUGCAGUGGAGGAUGGCCCAGGUGCUUGGGCCCUGCACCCCAUGGGAGACCAGGAAAAGCACCUGGCUCCUGGCUCCUGCCAUCGGAUCAGUGCGGUACGCCAGCCGCAGCGCGCCGGCCGCGGCGGCCAUUGGAGGGUGAACCAACGGCAAAAGGAAGACCUUUCUCUCUGUCUCUCUCUCUCCCUUUCUCUCUGUCUCUCUCUCUCACUGUUCACUCUGCCUGUCAAAAAAUAAAAAAAAAAAAAAAAAAAAGAAAGUCACACAGUGUAACUGACUAUGGAGUCUGUAGCUGAAGCACAGUGUGAUAGGUCUGGUAUUACAGACUUCCAAAAUAAUUUAAAGGCGACUGAGGUGUAGAACAUGGGUCACAUAUGCAAGUACACGGGACGGUAACUGUAGAGGGCACCCACCCACUGGCUCACUCCCCAGACGCCCACAGCAGUCAGGCGUGGCUCCGCCAGGGAUCGGGACUCGCCCAGGUCUCCCACGUGGGUGGCAGGGACGCAGGCGCUUGAGCAGUCGCUGCUGCCUCCCAGGGUGCACUUGAGCAAGCUGGAUGGGGAGCAGAGCCAGGGACUCCCGCGUGGGCUUCAGGGGUCUCAGCUGCUGUGCCAGACUCCCACCUAGUGCAGUAACGGAAAUUUCCAUAGUGAUUACGCAGGCGGCGUAGUGGUUCCAGUUACUCCGUUUCCUACAGCGUGCAUCUCUGGGAUCUCUCUUCGCUGUCACCAAGACACUGGAUGCUCGCCGUGUAGGAAGGCUAGGAUUCUGUCUUCCGUUUUAACAUGCAAGGGGACUGCGGGGUCCAGCUGCAUAAGCAGCUUCGGCAAGGUCUGUGGUGGUGGAAUCCACCGCCCGUGGAGGAGGGGUUGGUGUUGGGGUGCUGGUUCAUGGCCUGGCUGCUCCGCCUCCAAUCCAGCCCCCUGCUGGUGUGCCUGGGAAAGCACUGCAAGGGGGCCCAAGUGCUCGGCCCCUCCCACUCUCGCGGGAGACCCCGAUGAAGCUUCCAGCUUCUGGCAGCUUAAAAAAAUCCACGGAGGAGUGGGUCACAGCAGCAGAUCCACGCUGGGGAGCAGGACCUGUGCGGCGGUCACUGCCCGAGGGAGGGUCCUCUCUGCCCCUCCCUCAGCAGUCUUGCCUGCCUCACCUGCUGCCCACCGAGUGUUGUCAGAAGAGAAAGAUCUGUGCUGUCGGAAGACGGUACAUUCAACACACAGGCAGAGCCAAGAGAGCUGCUAAUGACCUUAUGGAUAGUGUUUCC